rnacentral:hammerhead_ribozyme from 1 species
AUUCAGUUGACGAGUCCUAAAUAGGAUGAAACACGCGUUUUGGAU